AGUUCGGACUGGAGUCUGNAACCCGACUCCACGAAGUUGGAUUCGCUAGUAAUCGCGCAUCAGCCAUGGCGCGGUGAAUACGUUCCCGGGCCUUGUACACACCGCCCGUCAAGCCAUGGGAGCCGGGGGCGCCUGAAGUCCGGGACCGCGAGGACCGGCCUAGGGCGAAACUGGUAACUGGGGCUAAGUCGUAACAAGGUACC
rnacentral:rRNA from 1 species